rnacentral:snRNA from 1 species
AGCUUUGCGCAGUGGCAGUAUCGUAGCCAAUGAGGUUUAUCAGAGGCGCAGUUAAUGCUAAUUGAAAACGUUUUAUGU